CUUGUCUAGGUAAUUUUAUCCCAAGCAGUGGGGUGUCCAAUACUAUUGGUUAGUUUGAUUUGGUAAUCUAAUAAGACCAAUCAUAGAAUAGAGAUCAACAAGAGUAUAAAUAAUACUACAUGGAUUAAUGAUGGUAGAGUGUAAUGGUGUGCAGCUAGGACUGAGGUGUGGGAUGAUGCACUACAUGGCAAUCACAAGUUCCAGACUUUUUUAUAGGGGUUAACCCAAAUCGUAGGGAGAAGGAACCCUCUAAUGGGGCGCACUAAUAAUAGAAGAGAUAAAGAGAGGUAAAGAGAGGCAGAGCGAAGAAGAGAUAGAAAGAG
rnacentral:lncRNA from 1 species